UACAGAGGGGGCAAGCGUUGUUCGGAAUUACUGGGCGUAAAGCGCGCGUAGGCUGUCUUGCAAGUCAGGGGUGAAAUCCUGGGGCUUAACCCCAGAAUUGCCUUUGAAACUGCAAGGCUAGAGUGUCGGAGGGGAUAGCGGAAUUCCUAAUGUAGAGGUGAAAUUCGUAGAUAUUAGGAGGAACACCGGUGGCGAAGGCGGCUAUCUGGACGACAACUGACGCUGAGGCGCGAAAGCGUGGGGAGCAAACAGG
rnacentral:rRNA from 1 species